GUGAGCAGACACUGUGACAAAAUGGGGACCUUCUCUCCCCUCCUUCGCUUAUGCCCUGGAAGGACCCCAGUCUACAAAGCUGAAAGAGGCAAAUAAUUCAACUCAGUCCUUUUCUGCCAACUGCUUCCCAGCAGGUUGGCCCCCAACAUGUACUGGUGCUUGGGGUUGAUCCUCCCCAGGUGCAGGACUUUUUGUCCUUUUCCUUGUUGAACUUCAUGAGAUUCCUGUCAGCCAGAUACAUAGGAUACAUAGAGUGAGAGAGACAGAUCAUGAUCAAGCUCCAAAAUGCAUGUGUGGUUUAAAAGGCCCAAUCCAGAACCAACAGUGGGUGGUAGGACCCCAGACUGUAGUGGCAUUGAGGCCACUAGGGAGAUGAGGAAUCAUUUAUCAGAGACAGAUGUGCCAUCCAGGGGCAUUGUAAAACACCAGGGGUUGCAUUUAGCUUUGUCUGUGGCCAGAAUUAACCUCAACCC